CUGCAUGCUGUUGGCGCGUGUUGGGAAACCAAGACGCGUCGAGCACGCCACCCUUGUCUAUCUCUACCCUUUGUUACUUCCCUCGGCGGGGCAACUCGCCGCAAGGGAACUCUACAACCUUUUUUUUAGUAUCUCAACUCUGAAGAUUUUAUAAAAAUCA
rnacentral:misc_RNA from 1 species